rnacentral:rRNA from 1 species
GACAGAGGGUGCAAACGUUGUUCGGAAUUACUGGGCGUAAAGCGUGUGUAGGCGGCCAUGUAAGUCAGGUGUGAAAGCCCCGGGCUCAACCCGGGAAGUGCACUUGAUACUGCGUGGCUUGAGUAUCGGAGAGGUUGGUGGAAUUCUCGGUGUAGAGGUGAAAUUCGUAGAUAUCGAGAGGAACACCGGUGGCGAAGGCGGCCAACUGGACGAAUACUGACGCUGAGACUCGAAAGCGUGGGGAGCAAACAGG